AUAUUAAUUAUAUAUAUAUGUUUCAUGGCCAGGUGGUUAGGGAGAUCGACUCGCAAUCUGAAAGUCACGGGUUAGAAUCUCCAUCCCAUCAAACAUAAUUGCCCUUUCAGCUGUGGGGGCGUUAUAAUGACGCAGUCAAUCCCACUAUCCGUUGUUAAAGAGUAGCCCAAGAGUUG